rnacentral:rRNA from 1 species
UGAGGAAUAUUGGUCAAUGGACGAGAGUCUGAACCAGCCAAGUAGCGUGCAGGAUGACGGCCCUAUGGGUUGUAAACUGCUUUUGUUUGGGAAUAAUCGACAUUACGUGUAAUGUUUUGCAUGUACCAUUCGAAUAAGGACCGGCUAAUUCCGUGCCAGCAGCCGCGGUAAUACGGAAGGUCCAGGCGUUAUCCGGAUUUAUUGGGUAUAAAGGGAGUGUAGGCGGUUGGUUAAGCGUGUUGUGAAAUGUAGAUGCUCAACAUCUGACUUGCAGCGCGAACUGGCUGACUUGAGUACACACAACGUAGGCGGAAUUCAUGGUGUAGCGGUGAAAUGCUUAGAUAUCAUGAAGAACUCCGAUUGCGAAGGCAGCUUACGGGAGUGUUACUGACGCUUAAGCUCGAAGGUGCGGGUAUCGAACAGG